GGGCCUAAMACAUGCAAGUCGAACGGUAACAGGAAGCAGCUUGCUGCUUCGCUGACGAGUGGCGCGACGGGUGAGUAAUGUCUGGGAAACUGCCUGAUGGAGGGGGAUAACUACUGGAAACGGUGGCUAAUACCGCAUAACGUCGCAAGACCAAAGAGGGGGACCUUCGGGCCUCUUGCCAUCAGAUGUGCCCAGAUGGGAUUAGCUUGUUGGUGAGGUAACGGCUCACCAAGGCGACGAUCCCUAGCUGGUCUGAGAGGAUGACCAGCCACACUGGAACUGAGACACGGUCCAGACUCCUACGGGAGGCAGCAGUGGGGAAUAUUGCACAAUGGGCGCAAGCCUGAUGCAGCCAUGCCGCGUGUAUGAAGAAGGCCUUCGGGUUGUAAAGUACUUUCAGCGGGGAGGAAGGUGUUGCGGUUAAUAACCGCAGCAAUUGACGUUACCCGCAGAAGAAGCACCGGCUAACUCCGUGCCAGCAGCCGCGGUAAUACGGAGGGUGCAAGCGUUAAUCGGAAUUACUGGGCGUAAAGCGCACGCAGGCGGUCUGUCAAGUCGGAUGUGAAAUCCCCGGGCUCAACCUGGGAACUGCAUUCGAAACUGGCAGGCUUGAGUCUUGUAGAGGGGGGUAGAAUUCCAGGUGUAGCGGUGAAAUGCGUAGAGAUCUGGAGGAAUACCGGUGGCGAAGGCGGCCCCCUGGACAAAGACUGACGCUCAGGUGCGAAAGCGUGGGGAGCAAACAGGAUUAGAUACCCUGGUAGUCCACGCCGUAAACGAUGUCUACUUGGAGGUUGUGCCCUUGAGGCGUGGCUUCCCGGAGCUAACGCGUUAAGUAGACCGCCUGGGGAGUACGGCCGCAAGGUUAAAACUCAAUGUAUUUGACGGGGGCCCGCACAAGCGGUGGAAGCAUGUGGUUUAUUCGAUGCAACGCGAAAACCUUACCUGGUCUUGACAUCCACGAAGGUCUCAGAGAUGAGACUGGGCCUUCCGGCACCCCGAAAACGGGGCUGCAUGGGCUG
rnacentral:rRNA from 1 species